AAGACUCUUGAAUGAGUGGUGUAGGCAAAUGAGAAAAAGAUGAAGACAAUGGUUACAUUUAUGUCGGGAAAAAUACGCCCCAAAUGGGUUGGUAAUGCUUGUUAUAAAGACGGCGAGUGUGGCUGAGAGGUUUCCCAAGUCACGAGAAGUUUGCAAGGGAAGUGGACGGGCGUCUCAAGCAGUAUCAUUUGAUGCUGCAUUCUCAGAUUCCAUGACGUUGGUCUCCAGUGUUCUGUGGGGGGGAAAUGGCUGCAUCGCAAUGAAUGCCAACUCCUGCAAGUGUUCAGCCAAUCGGUUCUGCUGCUCGAUGGCAGGGGCCAUUUUAAUUUGUCUGUUUGCUGCCAUUGUGGCAACAUAAGUUCUGCUGGGCCACAAGGUGGUUGUUGAGGGUGUCAACAUCUUUGGAACAAAUGUUGAGUGUUGCUCCUUUGCCCUGCCCAGACUGCGGACUCCAGGAUUACUUGUAUAAGUUGACAGGACUUGGAGGAUCCUGAAAUAGAUGGGAGAUUCUUCAAGAGCUUCAGUUGUGAAAUGAAAUGCUUAACGUAGGCAUUUAGUUGAUUGGGGGACUUUGCUGUAUGCAUGAACAAUUUAUCUUGGCUUUGAUUCCCUGAAGUUGCCAAGACUACAAUCAAGGAAUUUCGUUGGCGAUAUCCGACACCUUCCUACCAAAGGCUAACACUCUGACAACUGCUGUAAAAAGGAUAUGUAAUUGAAAGUCAAUUGCCACUUAUCAUGCAAUUAGUGCUUGCAGUGUUUGAAUAAAAAAAAUGGAGUCA